rnacentral:sRNA from 1 species
ACGGGCUUUUUUAACGUCACAUUAAGCUUUCCCGACUAUUACUCAAUUCAGUCCAUCUUCAUGGACUUUGAGUGGCUCCUGUCCACUCUGUUUGACGCCUCCCUGUUAUCUUACUGAGCCGCCAGAACUGGCGGCUCUUUUUUU